CAUGGGGAUAGGUGAUUAAUGUAAAAAUUUCAUUUUGGGGUAGAUUAACCCUUUAAUAGUACUUUUCAGGAUUUGUUGAUGAAUAGAAAGUUAUUAAUCUCUUUACCUUCGAUCAAUUUAAUGAACCCUUGCUGAAAAGAAGUAUACAUUUAAGAGGAAAAAAAACUGACACUGUUUGUACACGUGAAAGACAUUUCAAAGACAUGCCAGAUAAAUCCAAUUGUAGGAGGUUUGAAUUCAUUAUUUCCUGAAAAUGAAGUGCUGAAAUCAAGGCUUUGAUUUUUAAGAAUCAGUAGCGGAGCGCAGCGUGAUUUGAGUGGCAGGAAACUGAGAGUCUUAGGAUCUGUCAAGCUGCAAAGAGAAGUUUUGGAGUCACUCCACCUUGCGUUUCCUUCCUUCUAAAUCCCUCAUUGUGUGUUUGCCGUUUCCCUCUCUCUCUCUCUCUCUCUCUCUCUCUCUCGCUGUAUCUCUUCUCUCUGCUCUCUGCCAGCUUUAUGAGAGCUUAUUUUAGACCAUCUAAAUGUGAUCUGGCAGCUCCCAGCUAAUGUCAGAACAAAAGCCACGUGCACGCUCGCAAAGAGCAGAGAAGAAAAGAAGCUGAUGGGACGCUGCUAAAUGUAAACACUGUGCUUCCUCUGCCUGUGGAUUGUGGGUAAUGGGGUGCUACCUCCUUUCUCAGACAUACAUUAUACAUCGCAUCUUCACCAAAUCCGCAGCGCUGUAGGUAUGGCCCCUGAGGGCCCUUUAAACACCAUGACCUAAAGCACAAACGGACCCUUUCUUAUACAAUAAUAGUGUGUUUCUUACUCUUUUAUGGUGCAGUGGCGUACAGAGGAAAUAGACUCCAAUUCCCAGAGCACUUGCGGUUGGACUUUUCGCACAUGCUCCAUGCGUUUGGCAGCUCGGGCUCCAUGUGCUGCCGUAAUGAGAAGCACCGGCCCCCGGCACUUAAUCAACAGGACAGCAGUUCAACGUGGCCCACUAACAUAGCAUGAGACGGGUCAAUCCCUCCUUCACACUGAUGCCUCAGGAGAGUCAGGAAACAUUAUGGUGCAUAAACAUUGAAAAUAACCGCACACAGGGGAGGAUUGGAGAAAACCAGAGGAAGAGGAUGGAAGGAGGAUGAGGCCUCCUCUUCUUCCUUUCUUUCUUUCUAACAGCUGAAUCUGCCAGACUGAAACAGUCUGCAAUCAACAAGUGGCACCCAAUAUCUAAACUUUUUUCUUCUUUUGUCUUAUCAGAAUAUUAAGGCUUGAAGAUUUCAUUAGGGUUGUGUGACAUUUAUCAUCUACAAUAACAUCGCAGUUGUUAUUUUUAAUUAGCUCACAUUAUGUCGCUCAAAAAAAUUAAGAAAGAAAAAUUCAUGGUAUUAUAAUGCUUAUUAGAAUGAAGUUAAAAUGCUUCUAUAUUUUAAGUUAGGAAAGCAAAAAAUAUAUAUACCUGUAUGGGUCUUUGUUAUUUUUUUUAUUUUUAUACUCAUGAUAUGAUAUAGUUAAGUAAUAACACAUAAGCAAGAGGGCUGUUUUCCUAAAUAUUAGAUUGUGAGCAUCAACUAUUUACACAACAGUUAAAAAACAUUAAGUUAAUAUUGAGUGAGUAUCAUUGUAGACACAAUAGUCUUUUUUUUUCUUUUUCAUUUAGCUGUUUCACCAGUGAAAACUGUGCAUUGUUGGCGCGUUUCCAUUUUGAGGGUCUGAAAAUAGACUCCGCUCAACAUAGACCUACUCAAACCUGGUCUAAAGUCUGGUGCAAUGUUUUUUCUUUGUUAUGUAAAAAGCGUGUUAGUAUAGGCAGGUCCACAAUGCACGUACACACUGCUUAUUAAACACACAGGGACACAA